UACGGGGGGAGCAAGCGUUGUUCGGAUUUACUGGGCGUAAAGGGCGCGUAGGCGGCCACCGCAAGUCGACUGUGAAAUCUCCGGGCUUAACCCGGAAAGGUCAGCCGAUACUGCGGGGCUAGAGUGCAGAAGGGGCAACUGGAAUUCUCGGUGUAGCGGUGAAAUGCGUAGAUAUCGAGAGGAACACCUGCGGCGAAGGCGGGUUGCUGGGCUGACACGUGAC
rnacentral:rRNA from 1 species